AAACCAACAGGGAUUGCCCUAGUAACGGCGAGUGAAGCGGCAACAGCUCAAAUUUGAAAUCUGGCCUCUUUGGGGGUCCGAGUUGUAAUUUGCAGAGGGUGCUUUGGCGUUGGCUGUGGUCUAAGUUCCUUGGAACAGGACGUCGCAGAGGGUGAGAAUCCCGUAUGUGGCCGCCAGUCUUCGCCGUGUAAAGCCCCUUCGACGAGUCGAGUUGUUUGGGAAUGCAGCUCUAAAUGGGAGGUAAAUUUCUUCUAAAGCUAAAUAUUGGCCAGAGACCGAUAGCGCACAAGUAGAGUGAUCGAAAGAUGAAAAGCACUUUGGAAAGAGAGUCAAAAAGCACGUGAAAUUGUUGAAAGGGAAGCGCUUGCAGCCAGACUUGCUUGCAGUUGUUCAGCCGGGCUCUUGCCCGGUCUACUCUUCUGCUCGCAGGCCAGCAUCAGUCCGGGCGGUUGGAUAAAGGCCUAUUAAACGUACCUCCCCUCGGGGAGGACUUAUAGGGUAGGCGACAUGCAACCAGCCCGGAUUGAGGUCCGCGCAUCUGCUAGGAUGCUGGCGUAAUGGCUGUAAGCGGC
rnacentral:rRNA from 1 species